UACGGGAGGGGCAAGCGUUGUUCGGAUUCAUUGGGCGUAAAGCGCGUGUAGGCGGCUAAGUAAGUCGAGGGUGAAAGGUCUACGGCUUAACCGAGAUAUUGCCUUCGAAACUGCUUGGCUUGAGUUCGGUAGAGGUGAGUGGAAUUCCCAGUGUAGCGGUGAAAUGCGUAGAUAUUGGGAGGAACACCCGUGGCGAAAGCGGCUCACUGGACCGAUACUGACGCUGAGACGCGAAAGCGUGGGGAGCAAACGGG
rnacentral:rRNA from 1 species